UUAGUUUACUAUUGGAGCGGUUAGUGGCGAACGGGUGAGUAACGCGUGAGGAACCUGCCUUUCAGUGGGGGACAACAGUUGGAAACGACUGCUAAUACCGCAUGACACUUUUGGGAGACAUCUCCUGGAAGUCAAAGCUUUAUGUGCUGAAAGAUGGCCUCGCGUCUGAUUAGCUAGUUGGUGAGAUAACAGCCCACCAAGGCGACGAUCAGUAGCCGACCUGAGAGGGUGACCGGCCACAUUGGGACUGAGACACGGCCCAGACUCC
rnacentral:rRNA from 1 species